rnacentral:rRNA from 1 species
AGAGUUUGAUCAUGGCUCAGAUUGAACGCUGGCGGCAGGCCUAACACAUGCAAGUCGAGCGGCAGCGGGUCCUUCGGGAUGCCGGCGAGCGGCGGACGGGUGAGUAAUGCCUAGGAAUCUGCCUGGUAGUGGGGGAUAACUCGGGGAAACUCGAGCUAAUACCGCAUACGUCCUACGGGAGAAAGCGGGGGAUCUUCGGACCUCGCGCUACCAGAUGAGCCUAGGUCGGAUUAGCUAGUUGGUGAGGUAAAGGCUCACCAAGGCUACGAUCCGUAGCUGGUCUGAGAGGAUGAUCAGCCACACUGGAACUGAGACACGGUCCAGACUCCUACGGGAGGCAGCAGUGGG